rnacentral:tRNA from 2 species
CACUGUGAAGCUACUAAUAGCAUUAACCUUUUAAGUUAAAGAUUGAUAGUAAUAAACUAUCCACAGUGA